rnacentral:rRNA from 1 species
UACGAAGGGUGCUAGCGUUGUUCGGAAUCACUGGGCGUAAAGCGCGCGUAGGCGGCGUAACAAGUCAGAGGUGAAAGCCUGGAGCUCAACUCCAGAACUGCCUUUGAAACUGUUAUGCUAGAGUGUUGGAGGGGAUAGCGGAAUUGCUAAUGUAGAGGUGAAAUUCGUAGAUAUUAGCAGGAACACCGGUGGCGAAGGCGGCUAUCUGGACAACAACUGACGCUGAGGCGCGAAAGCGUGGGGAUCAAACAGG